CUGGCUCAGGAUGAACGCUGGCGGUAUGCUUAACACAUGCAAGUCGAACGGUCACUUCGGUGAUAGUGGCGGACGGGUGAGUAACGCGUGAGAAUCUGUCUUCAGGUCGGGGACAACAGUUAGAAAUGACUGCUAAUACCGGAUGUGCCGAAAGGUGAAAGAUUUAUUGCCUGAAAAAGAGCUCGCGUCAGAUUAGCUAGUAGGUGGUGUAAGAGACUACCUAGGCUCCGAUCUGUAGCUGGUCUGAGAGGACGAUCAGCCACACUGGAACUGAGACACGGUCCAGACUCCUACGGGAGGCAGCAGUGGGGAAUUUUCCGCAAUGGGCGAAAGCCUGACGGAGCAAUACCGCGUGAGGGACGAAGGCUUUUGGGUCGUAAACCUCUUUUCUCAAGGAAGAUUAAGACGGUACUUGAGGAAUAAGCAUCGGCUAACUCUGUGCCAGCAGCCGCGGUAAUACAGAGGAUGCAAGCGUUAUCCGGAAUGAUUGGGCGUAAAGCGUCCGCAGGUGGUUUUAUAAGUCUGCUGUUAAAGCGUUAGGCUCAACCUAAUAAGGGCAGUGGAAACUAUAAGACUAGAGUAUGUUAGGGGUAGAGGGAAUUCCCAGUGUAGCGGUGAAAUGCGUAGAGAUUGGGAAGAACACCGGUGGCGAAAGCGCUCUGCUAGGACAAUACUGACACUGAGGGACGAAAGCUAGGGGAGCGAAUGGGAUUAGAUACCCCAGUAGUCCUAGCCGUAAACGAUGGAUACUAGGCGUUGCCCGUAUCGACCCGGGCAUUGUCGUAGCUAACGCGUUAAGUAUCCCGCCUGGGGAGUACGCACGCAAGUGUGAAACUCAAAGGAAUUGACGGGGGCCCGCACAAGCGGUGGAGUAUGUGGUUUAAUUCGAUGCAACGCGAAGAACCUUACCAGGACUUGACAUGUCGCGAACCCUGCUGAAAGGUGGGGGUGCCUUCGGGAGCGCGAACACAGGUGGUGCAUGGCUGUCGUCAGCUCGUGUCGUGAGGUGUCGGGUUAAGUCCCGCAACGAGCGCAACCCUCGUUUUUAGUUGCCAUCAUUAAGUUGGGCACUCUAGAGAGACUGCCGGUGACAAACCGGAGGAAGGUGGGGAUGACGUCAAGUCAGCAUGCCCCUUACGUCCUGGGCUACACACGUACUACAAUGCUACGAACAAAGGGCAGCUAGUUAGCAAUAACAUGCAAAUCUCAGAAAUCGUAGCUCAGUUCAGAUUGAAGGCUGCAACUCGCCUUCAUGAAGUCGGAAUCGCUAGUAAUUGCAGGUCAGCAUACUGCAGUGAAUUCGUUCCCGGGCCUUGUACACACCGCCCGUCACACCAUGGAAGCUGGUCACGCCCGAAGUAGUUA
rnacentral:rRNA from 1 species